UAUGGCGUUCGUCACAGCCUUCCCCAGGUCUUUCGUUCUGCGGUGUGACCGGGCAGUCUGGCCAAUGGACACUACUGUUUGGGCCUGAGAAGGCGGGGUUCUCUGCAGAAGGGACUGGGAAGGUGGUGGUGGCGGCGAAGGCGCUGGCGGUUGAGGUUGCUCGGAGGCAGAGAUCAUUUAGGUCCACAGACAUCCUAACAUUCAGAGCAUGAGAUCUGUGCCGGUCCCUGGACCUCUUCUUGUAAGGAUCUAUGCUUGGCUUGAUAGUCUGAUAUCGCCAACGUGGAAAUUCUAGUAACUUCUAGAUGAGGCAACUAUGAAGGGCUUGUAUUUUCAACAGAGUUCUACAAAUGAAGAAAUAACAUUUCUAUUUCAAGAAAGGG